UUAGUAGGCAUAGCCCGGUGAAAAUCGGAUUAAUACCCUGUGUUGUGUCAUGAGGACAUCUGAAUAACACUAAAGAUUUAUCGCGUAAGGGAUGGGGAUGCGUCCGAUUAGGUAGUCGGCGGGGUAACGGCCCACCGAGCCCUCGAUCGGUAGGGGUUCUGAGAGGAAGGUCCCCCACACUGGUACUGAGACACGGACCAGACUCCUACGGGAGGCAGCAGUGAGGAAUAUUGGUCAAUGGGCGCGAGCCUGAACCAGCCAAGUUAGCGUGCAGGAUGACGGCCCUAUGGGUUGUAAACUGCUUUUAGUACGGGGAAUAAAGUGAGGGACGUGUCCCCUAUUGUAGGUACCGUAUGAAUAAGGACCGGCUAAUUCCGUGCCAGCCGCCGC
rnacentral:rRNA from 1 species